rnacentral:rRNA from 1 species
UACGGGCGGCUGCCGUGGGGAAUAUUGCACAAUGGGCGGAAGCCUGAUGCCGCGACGUCGCGUGAGGGCUGGAGGCCUUCGGGUUGUGAACCUCUUUCGCCAGUGAGGAAGGCCUUGCCCGUGUGGUGGGGUUGACGGUAGCUGGGUUAAUUGAAGCGCCGGCUAACUACGUGCCAGCAGCCGCGGUAAUACGUAGGGCGCGAGCGUUGUCCGGAAUUAUUGGGCGUAAAGGGCGUGUAGGCGGUUGGUCGCGUCUGCCGUGAAAUCCUCUGGCUCAGCUGGGGGCGUGCGGUGGGUACGGGCUGGCUUGAGUGCGGUAGGGGAGGCUGGAACUCCUGGUGUAGCGGUGGAAUGCGCAGAUAUCAGGAGGAACACCGGUGGCGAAGGCGGGUCUCUGGGCCGUUACUGACGCUGAGGAGCGAAAGCGUGGGGAGCGAACAGGAUUAGAUACCCUGGUAGUC